AUUGAACACUGGCGGCGUGCUUUACACAUGCAAGUCGGACGAGUGGCGAACGGGUGAGUAACGCAUCGGAACGUACCGCGUCAUGGGGUAUCACUUUCCGAAAGGAAAGCUAAUACCGCAUAUUAUUCGCUCGGCCGUUGUCUGCUUAGCUGGUUGGAGGGGUAAAGGCCUACCAAGGCGCCGAUGAGUAGCGGGUCUGAGAUGAUGAUGCGCGACACGGGGACUAAGACACGGCCCAGACUCCGACGGGAGGCAGCAGUGAGGAUUGUUGGACAAUGGGCGCAAGUCAGAGCCAGCCAUGCCGCGUGUCUGAAGAAGGCCUUCGGGUGGUAAAGUACUUUCAGCGGGGAGGCGUUACACGGAGAAGAAGCACCGGCUAACUCCGUGCCAGCAGCCGCGGUAAUAC
rnacentral:rRNA from 1 species